UUAACUGACGCUGAGGCUCGAAAGUAUGGGUAGCAAACAGGAUUAGAUACCUGGUAGUCCAUACCGUAAACGAUGAAUGCUAAGUGUUGGAGGGUUCCGCCUUUCAGUGCUGCAGCUAACGCAUUAAGCAUUCCGCUGGGGAGUACGGCCGCAAGGCUGAAACUCAAAGGAAUUGACGGGGGCCCGCACAAGCGGUGGAGCAUGUGGUUUAAUUCGAAGCUACGCGAAGAACCUUACCAGGUCUUGACAUACUAUGCAAAUCUAAGAGAUUAGACGUUCCCUUCGGGGACAUGGAUACAGGUGGUGCAUGGUUGUCGUCAGCUCGUGUCGUGAGAUGUUGGGUUAAGUCCCGCAACGAGCGCAACCCUUAUUAUCAGUUGCCAGCAUUAAGUUGGGCACUCUGGUGAGACUGCCGGUGACAAACCGGAGGAAGGUGGGGAUGACGUCAAAUCAUCAUGCCCCUUAUGACCUGGGCUACACACGUGCUACAAUGGAUGGUACAACGAGUUGCGAACUCGCGAGAGUAAGCUAAUCUCUUAAAGCCAUUCUCAGUUCGGAUUGUAGGCUGCAACUCGCCUACAUGAAGUCGGAAUCGCUAGUAAUCGCGGAUCAGCAUGCCGCGGUGAAUACGUUCCCGGGCCUUGUACACACCGCCCGUCACACCAUGAGAGUUUGUAACACCCAAAGUCGGUGGGGUAACCUUUAGGAACCAGCCGCCUAAGGUGGGACAGAUGAUUAGGGUGAAGUCGUAACAAGGUAACCA
rnacentral:rRNA from 1 species